GGAGAGAUGGCUCAGUGGUUAAGAGCACUGACUGUUCUUUCAGAGGUCCUGAGUUCAAUUCCCAGCAACCA
rnacentral:tRNA from 1 species